rnacentral:pre_miRNA from 1 species
GGUUAUCUCCCAGUGUUCACUGUGUUAGCCUUGGUGUGUGGCGAACAAUUAAGGCACGCGGUGAAUGCCAGGAGGCGGCUU